CCAGACUCCUACGGGAGGCAGCAGUGGGGAAUAUUGGGCAAUGGGCGCAAGCCUGACCCAGCAACGCCGCGUGAAGGAAGAAGGCCCUCGGGUUGUAAACUUCUUUUAUUCGGGACGAAGAAAGUGACGGUACCGAAUGAAUAAGCCACGGCUAACUACGUGCCAGCAGCCGCGGUAAUACGUAGGGGGCGAGCGUUGUCCGGAAUCACUGGGCGUAAAGGGCGCGUAGGCGGUAAUAUAAGUCAGAUGUGAAAGGUGGGGGCUCAACCCCUAGAGUGCAACUGAUACUGUAUAACUUGAGUGUGAGAGAGGGAAGCGGAAUUCCUAGUGUAGCGGUGAAAUGCGUAGAUAUUAGGAGGAACACCAGUGGCGAAGGCGGCCUGCUGGGCUUUUACUGACGCUGAGGCUCGAAAGUGUGGGGAGCAAACAGGAUUAGAUACCCUCGUAGUU
rnacentral:rRNA from 1 species